UACAGAGGGGGCAAGCGUUGUUCGGAAUUACUGGGCGUAAAGGGCGCGUAGGCGGCCUUCUAAGUCGAACGUGAAAUCCCCGGGCUCAACCCGGGAACUGCGUCCGAUACUGGAAGGCUUGAAUCCGGGAGAGGGAUGCGGAAUUCCAGGUGUAGCGGUGAAAUGCGUAGAUAUCUGGAGGAACACCGGUGGCGAAGGCGGCAUCCUGGACCGGUAUUGACACUGAGGCGCGAAAGCCAGGGGAGCAAACGGG
rnacentral:rRNA from 1 species